UUUCAAUGCACUUGGCAAUAA
rnacentral:piRNA from 1 species